UCGACAUUGUUUUUACCUGAUUCAAUUUUCAUUUCAAGUUGUUUGUUCAACAACGGAAGAAUCGAAUGAACAAUAAACGGUUGCUGUAAAAUUAUUUGCACAUUUGCUUCUUGCCGGGUAUUAAGCAAUAACAUCUUGACCAACAAAAAUGAAAAUUUCAAACUUCCGACGUUUUUUUCUCCAUUUUAUCAUUCGCUGGAUACAUUCAUCAUUGGUAAUUCGAUUUUUUUCAAAUGUUGGUUGAGACGUUAUUGUAUAAUACUUCCAAAUAAAGUAGCGGUGAAAUAAUAGCGAUUCUCCAUCGUGAUACAUAUCGAUAAAUAUUAUCUGAAUAUAUUCAUUCAGUCUCCGGAUUCAGACAAACGAAGAAGGAUAAAAAAGAAGCACAUUCGAAGAUCUCGCGGUAGUAAGUGAAACAACGUCAAGAUGAAAGUUCCGCAUUUAUUUUCAUCCGUUCUUUGGGUGUUCCUCGUCAUCUUUAGUCAGACGGUGAUUUCCUGCCCACCAAAUCAGACGGCGACGAAUUGCGAACCGUGCGAUGAAUUGUGCAGCGGCGAUCCACACGCGUGUUUCUUUCUCUGCCGUACGGGACCCGUGUUUUGCGAAUGUGAUACCGAUUUUUACCUCGUCGAUGGGACUGACAGAUGUGUCAGAAAAGAGGACUGUCCAAAGGCAUCCUCGUGUUGAAGGUUCAAAUCGAUCGGAGAAUUUGACGUUAACGGAUAAGUAUAACGACGCCGAUCUCGCGUAUUGAAUAAUUAAUGAAAAAAUUUCGUUCAUCUGGUGUAAUGAUUAAAUUGAAUUACUACUUUGAAGUCUUUGGGUAAUAUGAUCGUGCAGCUGCAGGAUGUAGUUUAAUAUAAGCCUCAUACCUAAACGUCAAAUUAAUCGCAUGACUGAAUAUCUUUAUUAAUUAAGGAUGCGGUUAAUAACUUGGCUGGAUCACACUCCCCCAAAACUGUGAGAUGAGCCGAGCCUCUCGGUAUAACUUCCAAAACUGGGGCUCGUCAUAAAGCAAUUUGUCGUUAAUAGAAUUUAACGGCACUUCACAUUAUAUAUCAAACGAAAAUUAUAACCAAGUAGGAAUUCGAAAACUCAGAUUACACGACGCUCGCCGAUAACUCGUUCGAUAUAUCCACCGAUACAAUUUCAGCGGCGCACGCGAAACGAUCGCGUCGUAAUUCAGGAGAAUCGUGCUAUUUGGCUCGCGUCGUAAUAGAUAUAAAAACGUGAAUAAAAAUAAAGUAAAAAAAAAGAAACGAAACGAAAAAUUGAAUACGUCCAGGUGAAAGUUGGAACAAAGGAAAUUGUCAGCGUGACUUAAUAUUCAAUAUGUGUAGGCACUGAAAGGAUAUUGUAGAAAUAAACAGAAAUAAAAACGAAAUAAACGAGGAUAUUCCGCGCCUUGUGUCGAUCGUUUCGACAAGAUGUUGCCAAAGCGACCAUUCGUGGCAUCUGAGGAUCCCUGUACACCCUACACCGUAUACCUAUACUUCGGCAGAGUACGAGCUCUGCACAUCCCUUUCUUCCCCGGAAUGAAUAUCGACAAACGAACGAUGGUACAACGGUGCGCUUUUCUUCGAGCGACUCACAAUCCUCCGUGUUUCGUGAUUUGAUCGAAUUAUCGAACAAUUUCAGCGACUAAAAAUCACUCCCCGCCCUCGUUCCGAAUCUAUUUUUUCUUUUCGGGCAAAAAAAUUAUUUCAGGGGAGAAGAAUAUACGGUGUUCGCGUACAUGGCACGCGCUAGGCCAGAAUUCCGAUCGUAUUCUUUCGAUUCAACGAUUCGUUUUCACCCCUCUCAUUGUCAGAAUUAUCUCUUUAUCGGGAGCGGAAUUUCAGUCGAAUUAAAAUACUGUACGAUGUAUGGGAUUCGAAAGUUGACGAGCAUUUUCACCCUCCCUCGCGUCGUUUCCAAUUAAAACUUGUUUGCUAUAGAAUAAACGUUCAUCGGCUAACGACAGCCAAAUUUCAUGAGUCGGCUGUUGUUGGUCGUUUUUAAUCACGACGGUUCGCGUUGUGAGACCAAAAAAUUUCUGUCUUCUUACAGAAAAGUGUUUUGUUCCUCGUACACUCCUUGUACUCGACGUCCCCGCGCCCGUUUUCAACCUACAAUUCCCACAUUAUUAUACCCGCUCAGCUGUGGGAGAACUCCGCUAAUGAUUUUUAUUGUUCGACGCGACUUUACCCUAAAUUUUUCUUCAAUUAAAUACGCGAAAAGUUUAUUAUUUUAUUUGUUUGUUUAUUCAGUUUUGUUCACCGAUAGCCGAAUCAUCUCGCGACAGGACGCAAUUAAAUUUGCGAUUUCGUUUACCGUGUGAAAUAAAAAAUAUGCUCGACUAAGUGGAAAAGAAAGUCGAAUGAAAACGUGCGAGGGAAACAGGAAAAAAGAGAAAAACGAGAAAUUGAAAACAAACAAAAAAAAAAAAAAAAUCAAAGAGUUUUGAAAGGCGGAUUCUGGCAGCGAAAUUAUCUACCCGUCCCGUACGGUUGCCGGCCAGCUUCCGUUUGACCAAAACUGUUAUCAGGGUAGAGGCGAAAUUCGGAGCAUAUUUGGGUCCAAGUUUCCGGUCGACUGCCUCAAUGUGCCUGUCCGAUAAAAUAGAGCGGCUACCGGCCAGAGACAAUGCACCUUUUGAAGUGGACCCCGAGGGGAAUGUUUUCGAUAGGAAGGGCAUAGCUUUUACGUUGCCUGGUUACUACUUGCCGUCGACUCCCCGUACGGCAGGGCUCAAUUAAAUUUCUACUUGAUCGAAAUUAAGCCUCGGUUAUCUGAAAAUGAUCCUGCACUCCGAAUGACGACCGUGAAUAACGCAUGUGCGAUUCGGAACAGCGAAUGUCGCGAACACAGAAUAUUUGGUGAAAGAAGACAGAAAAGGCGAAAUCUUAAGGCUCCCAUCGGGCCGUACGCCUCUGAGGCUGCAGUAAAAAUGCACAACUAGUUUGCGGUGUGCCAGACCGUAGGCGUACAGCGCGAGUCGAUACUCGUGGAGUAUCGAUUUGAAAGGGAAAAAGAGCAAAAAUGAAAUUCGAAUUCAUUCCGUUAUCGUUCGUAACUGAAUCUUGAACCGUGGUUCAGAAUUUUGGAAAUUCCGAAAGCCGAGAAUAGAGAAUUUUUCGAAUAGUUCGGGCUCGGAAUAAAAAGUCAAGCCUCGUUGCAUAAAAUUCGACGGAUUCGCGAGUGAGGUAAGGUGCGAUAAGAAUUUCGUUGUAAAAAUUCACGUCCGGGAUUUUUACGUCUCGAACGAUUAAGUUGAUGAAAGAGGCGUUUUAACGCGAGUACACGUAAGCCCCAUCCCCCCGUUUUGACUACGGGGUGUCGGAGCCGACGCAAUGGUUCUGCAGCUGAGGAAAGUGCAAGUGGUUUACAGUUUACUGCCUCAGGGAUGGCCGCGAAAUUUUAAUCCACUUUGAAUAACGAGGUGGCGUUCACGCCAUAAACACGAAAACCGUAAAGCUGUCUUGCAUACCAAAUCGACUUGAAACUCCCGAUGGUCUCCGCGCGCAUUACCAAUUUCUUAUCGUUCUACCGCGAUACGUUGGGUACAACCCGAAUUUCAGAUACACGCCAAGUUUACAUUCGUCAUCCGCAUGUUUCGUUACACCGAAAAAAAAAAAAAAACGCGUCAUCCAACGAGCACCGCGAUACAAACUAGGUAUCUAUGUAUAAGAUUCGAGUGUCGUCUCCUCAAUGCCCUUAUACCCGAUAGAAAUGAACUUUAAUUUAUAGCCGGUCGAUUUCUCCCAUCUGUGGAGAAACAAAGAAGCUCGCAGAGGGUGGUAAGAGUUUGCCGGAUCGCUGGAGGGACUCGUCUGAGACCGUAAAAUCUUUUAUUACUUUCCAUUGGAAAUUAAUUGAAGAGAUAGACGAACAUCCUCUAAAAACCAAUCCCCAACAUAUCACCCUGUACGUCUGCGAUAUCGUAAAACUGGGAAAAACUUCCACCUAUCCAAAACGUGGAACCACCGCGAUGUUUAAUCUCCACGAGCGCGUCGAGGAUUUCAAUUGUUCCGAAUUCUCGUUACAAUUCCUCGCGGCAAAGUCAUUCGAGAACGCAACAAUAAUUUAGUUGUCGUUGGUCAGUAGUGGAAGAUCGGUAAUACCGAGUCAAGUGUCGUAAUCUUUAUUGCGUCUCGUUGGUCAUUCGUUCCGCUAGAUAUUAUGAGACUUUUCUCGCGCUCCGUACAGCCGGACAUAUUUUACAACCUGCAACGUUACGAGUUUCACCUUCGCCUGUACGUACCAUGGUGUUUUCAUACGCAUUAAAAUACACGUAUGCACAUAUUAUAGUUUACGAUGGAUCAACUUGCACUCGCAUGCCAAUAUCACCCUUCCCCGUAGUUUCUGCAGCAGCUGCAGUUAGCAACGUAGAUGAUAUCGGUGCGCGCUCAUACCGCAGCUAGGAGUUAAACGAUCGCAUUAUACGUACCUAAUAUUUUGCAAGUUUUCCACAUGCACACGAUCUGUAACCAUACGCCACGCCUACGCAAGGUUUCAUAAAUUGGUGAUGUAAGUCCCGCGAUGCAGCGCUAAUCUCCCGCUGCUACGCGACUGCCGCUACUACCUCAAUUUUUUUACAUCCGUCGAUGAUAAUUAAUCCUCCGCGUAUUCGGAUCUAUGGAGAAAUUGCGUGUAAAUUAGCUCCGAUAAGGCGUGGUACAAAAUCGUCGAGUGCAACGGUGCGUUUACUCGUAGUAAAAUUUAUGCGAGUCGAGUAGCAGUCGGAUAGAAAACCUCAAUGAACAGAGGUACGGUGAUCUAUAGCUGUGUCUCUAUAAAUCGUUGAAGUGACGUUAAUAACGCAGAGGUCUGAUCUGAAAGUAAUAAUUUUUAUCCUUGGACCAUUUUAAUUAGAUCUCGUCGAGGAUCGCGUGAUCUUCGAUCUCCCGCACUCGAUUAAUCCACGAUAUUCAUAACGGUCGCGCGGAUCAAGUACGGGGAUAAAUCACGCGUGAUCCACGCAAGAAAAGUAUAACACGACGCGAACGUUGAGUUUCCGCUUCGCAAAUUUUGACAAAGUCAACGAAAGUUACGGGAAAUGGUGUUCCGGUUCGGCGGUGUAUCCGAUUUAUACCGCCGUUGUUUCUCGAAUCUCGGUCCAUAUCUGCCGAUUUAAGGCAUUCCAUGUAUGUACGUAUAUUCAACCUACGGGGCCGAGUGCCGCGACAGAUAGCACGAAACAUAUAGUUGCAUUAUACAUACGACGUUGUCGUGUAAAGCGCGAUCGUAAAAUCAUUUUCCUAUGUAGUUUAGAUAUUCAGUAGAUAAGCUCGGUAUUUAAGUAUAAUAUACGUCCGAGCUUACGGUGAUAUUUUCUCAACCUGCGGUGUAAAAUUCAUAUUACAGAGAUGGAGAGAUGGAAGUCGAAGGUGUACAACGCGCGCACGGCGCAGCAUAAUGCAUCGCGUCAACGCGCGCCUAUAAGUCGCCUUGGACUAGUUCGAGUUCAUAACCCUGCGAAUAAGCGACAGCACCUAUCCGCCUGUACGUCGAACACCUGAAUUCCCGUCCUGCACCGCGGGAUCGGACCCUUCGAUUCACCUACUGAUAAAAUUCAAAGCCAUCCGCAGCGAGUCCGAUCCCAUUUCGGUCAACGGUCAAUUUUUCCAGUUUCGGCGAUCUCUUCGCCACUAUUGUCUUUCGCCACGUGCUCGUCCGAACCAAAGAGAUAAAUAGGAGUUCAACGGAUCUUUCGUCGCUUUUUUUACAGCGACAAACAACUUUUUGGCUUACUUCCAAUACAAAGUAGGUCAUAACGACGAUACGCGGAUCGUUAGUGGACACUGACACCGAUGGAAGUACAUUGGAAAGAAGAAUACUGAAAGUAACGAAAAUCUGCAACUUCGGUCUCCGCGGACUAUCGAAUUUGAAUAAAUUCUCAUGCGGAAUAUCGAGCCAACACCGUUCGAAAACCGACGAGUCAUAUAGGACACGCGAACCAAAUGUAAGCCUGUAUAAAGAUAAAGAAAUUUUGUAUUAUCUUAA